rnacentral:rRNA from 1 species
UGGGGAAUAUUGGACAAUGGGCGCAAGCCUGAUCCAGCCAUGCCGCGUGAGUGACGAAGGCCUUAGGGUUGUAAAGCUCUUUUUGGCGGGGACGAUAAUGACGGUACCCGCAGAAUAAGCCCCGGCUAACUUCGUGCCAGCAGCCGCGGUAAUACGAAGGGGGCUAGCGUUGUUCGGAAUUACUGGGCGUAAAGCGCACGUAGGCGGAUGUGCCAGUCAGGGGUGAAAUCCCGAGGCUCAACCUCGGAACUGCCUCCGAUACAGCACGUCUCGAGUCCGGAAGAGGUGAGUGGAAUUCCUAGUGUAGAGGUGAAAUUCGUAGAUAUUAGGAAGAACACCAGUGGCGAAGGCGGCUCACUGGUCCGGUACUGACGCUGAGGUGCGAAAGCGUGGGGAGCAAACAGGAUUAGAUACCCCCGUAGUCCCUGAGCGGGCUGGCAAGGCGCAU